rnacentral:rRNA from 1 species
GAUGAACGCUGGCGGCGUGCCUAAUACAUGCAAGUCGAGCGAACGGACGAGAAGCUUGCUUCUCUGAUGUUAGCGGCGGACGGGUGAGUAACACGUGGAUAACCUACCUAUAAGACUGGGAUAACUUCGGGAAACCGGAGCUAAUACCGGAUGAUAUUUUGAACCGCAUGGUUCAAAAGUGAAAGACGGUCUUGCUGUCACUUAUAGAUGGAUCCGCGCUGCAUUAGCUAGUUGGUAAGGUAACGGCUUACCAAGGCAACGAUGCAUAGCCGACCUGAGAGGGUGAUCGGCCACACUGGAACUGAGACACGGUCCAGACUACUAAGGGAGGCAGCAGUAGGGAAUCUUCCGCAAUGGGCGAAAGCCUGACGGAGCAACGCCGCGUGAGUGAUGAAGGUCUUCGGAUCGUAAAACUCUGUUAUUAGGGAAGAACAUAUGUGUAAGUAACUGUGCACAUCUUGACGGUAACUAAUCAGAAAGCCACGGCUAACUACGUG